rnacentral:rRNA from 1 species
AUACGUAGGGUGCGAGCGUUGUCCGGAAUUACUGGGCGUAAAGAGCUCGUAGGUGGUUUGUCGCGUCGUCUGUGAAAUUCCGGGGCUUAACUCCGGGCGUGCAGGCGAUACGGGCAUAACUUGAGUACUAUAGGGGAGACUGGAAUUCCUGGUGUAGCGGUGAAAUGCGCAGAUAUCAGGAGGAACACCGGUGGCGAAGGCGGGUCUCUGGGCAGUAACUGACGCUGAGGAGCGAAAGCAUGGGUAGCGAACAGGAUUAGAUACCCUGGUAGUCCAUGCCGUAAACGGUGGGCGCUAGGUGUAGGGGUCUUCCACGACUUCUGUGCCGUAGCUAACGCAUUAAGCGCCCCGCCUGGGGAGUACGGCCGCAAGGCUAAAACUCAAAUGAAUUGACGGGG